AUUGAACGCUGGCGGCAGGCUUAACACAUGCAAGUCGAGCGGAGAUGAGGUGCUUGCACCUUAUCUUAGCGGCGGACGGGUGAGGAAUGCUUAGGAAUCUGCCUAUUAGUGGGGGACAACAUUCCGAAAGGAAUGCUAAUACCGCAUACGUCCUACGGGAGAAAGCAGGUGAUCUUCGGACCUUGCGCUAAUAGAUGAGCCUAAGUCGGAUUAGCUAGUUGGUGGGGUAAAGGCCUACCAAGGCGACGAUCUGUAGCGGGUCUGAGAGGAUGAUCCGCCACACUGGGACUGAGACACGGCCCAGACUCCUACGGGAAGCAGCAGUGGGGAAUAUUGGACAAUGGGGGAAACCCUGAUCCAGCCAUGCCGCGUGUGUGAAGAAGGCCUUAUGGUUGUAAAGCACUUUAAGCGAGGAGGAGGCUACUGAGACUAAUACUCUUGGAUAGUGGACGUUACUCGCAGAAUAAGCACCGGCUAACUCUGUGCCAGCCGCCGCAGUAA
rnacentral:rRNA from 1 species